rnacentral:rRNA from 1 species
GACGAACGCUGGCGGCGUGCUUAACACAUGCCAGUCGAACGGAAAGGCCCUGCUUUUGUGGGGUGCUCGAGUGGCGAACGGGUGAGUAACACGUGAGUAACCUGCCCUUGACUUUGGGAUAACUUCAGGAAACUGGGGCUAAUACCGGAUAGGAGCUCCUGCUGCAUGGUGGGGGUUGGAAAGUUUCGGCGGUUGGGGAUGGACUCGCGGCUUAUCAGCUUGUUGGUGGGGUAGUGGCUUACCAAGGCUUUGACGGGUAGCCGGCCUGGGAGGGUGACCGGCCACAUUGGGACUAAGAUACGGACCAGACUGGUACGGGAGGCAGCAGUGGGGAAUAUUGCACAAUGGGCGGAAGCCUGAUGCAGCAACGCCGCGUGCGGGAUGACGGCCUUCGGGUUGUGAACCGCUUUCGCCUGUGACGAAGCGUGAGUGACGGUAAUGGGUAAAGAAGCACCGGCUAACUACGUG